rnacentral:rRNA from 1 species
GGCGUGCCUAAUACAUGCAAGUCGAGCGAUGAGGCUCCUUCGGGAGUCAUCAGCGGCGAACGGGUGAGUAACACGUAGGUGACUUGCCCCGAAGAUGGGGAUAACCUCUGGAAACGGGGGCUAAUACCCAAUGUGCUCGGUGAUUCGGUUGAUCGAGUAAAGCUCCGGCGCUUCGGGAGAGGCCUGCGGCCCAUCAGCUAGUUGGUAGGGUAACGGCCUACCAAGGCAGAGACGGGUAGGGGGCGUGAGAGCGCGGACCCCCACACUGGCACUGCGACACGGGCCAGACUCCUACGGGAGGCAGCAGUAAGGAAUAUUGCGCAAUGGACGAAAGUCAGACGCAGCGACGCCGCGUGGGCGAUGAAGGCCUUCGGGUUGUAAAGCCCUUUUAUGGGGGAAGAGAAAAAGGACGGUACCCCAUGAAUAAGUCCCGGCUAACUACGUGCCAGCAGCCGCGGUAAAACGUAGGGGACAAGCGUUAUCCGGAUUCACUGGGCGUAAAGAGCGUUGAGGCGGUUCCGUAAGUUGGGCGUGAAAGCUCCGGGCUUAACCCGGAGAUGUCGUUCAAUACUGCGGGGCUUGAGGACAGCAGAGGAAGGUGGAAUUCCCGGUGUAGUGGUGAAAUGCGUAGAUAUCGGGAGGAACACCCGUGGCGAAGGCGGCCUUCUGGGCUGUUCCUGACGCUGAAGGCGAAAGCUAGGGGAGCGAACGGGAUUAGAUACCCCGGUAGUCCUAGCUGUAAACGAUGGAUGCUGGGUGUGGGGGGUGUAAAUUCCCUCUGUGCCGAAGCAAACGCGUUAAGCAUCCCGCCUGGGGACUACGGNCGCAAGGCUAAAACUCAAACGAAUUGACGGGGGCCCGCACAAGCAGCGGAGCGUGUGGUUUAAUUCGAUGCUACACGAAGA